UUACGGUGUGCGUUCACAAAGGAAACAAAUACGAUUAGCAAGGUGGAGCAGGAUAAAACGAAAAUUACAAAGUAUUAUUUGUUUUCCAAAGAAAAAGUAAUGACGCUAACAACUAUUAAGGACGGCGAAUAUACGGCCACAGUUUACAGAAUGAUAAAGGAUGGGCGUUAUGGAGAAGCCAUCAACAUCCUAAGCAAUGAACUUCAGAAACAGAUGAAGUCCAGGGUAGCCUUGUCUCUGCUGGGUUACUGCUACUAUCACAUGCAGGAGUUCACCAAUGCGGUGGAGUGCUACGAGCAGCUGACCCAACUGCACCCCGAGGUGGAGGAAUACAAACUGUACUACGCCCAGUCUCUGUAUGGGGCCUGUGCAUACCCAGAGGCAAUGAAGGCCACCUUCCUCCUGGACAACCCCAACAGCCAUACUAAGAUGAUUAAACUGCAAGCAGCCAUCAAAUAUGGUGAGGAGGAGUACUCUGGAGCAAAGACGCUGGUGGAACAGCUUCCCCAGGAUGACCCAGACUAUGAUGUGGACAUGGGCUGUCUGCUCUACCAGGAGGGCGAGUACAAGGAGGCCUGCAAGAAGUUCAUGUCUGCCAUGCAGGUGCUGGGCUACCAACCAGACCUCUCCUACAACAUCGGAUUGUGCUACUACAGCAUGAAGCAGUAUGCUCAGGCUCUCAAGUACAUCAGUGAGAUCAUAGAGCGUGGGAUAAGGGAGCACCCGGAGCUGAGUGUGGGCAUGACCACGGAGGGCAUCGAUGUGAGGAGUGUGGGAAACACACUGGGACUUCACGAGACCGCCCUGAUCGAGGGCUUCAACCUGAAGGCCGCCAUCGAGUACCAGUUAAAAAACAAUGACGGCGCGCAAGAAGCAUUGACGGACAUGCCCCCCAGAUCAGACGAGGAGCUGGACCCGGUGACCCUGCACAACCAGGCGCUGAUGAACAUGGAUAAGAAGCCGUCGGAGGGCUUUGAGAAGCUGGCCUUCCUUCUGCAGCAAAUCCCUUUCCCCCCUGUCACAUUUGGCAACCUGCUGCUGCUCUACUGCCGAUACGAGUACUUUGACUUAGCUGCCGAUGUGCUGGCUGAAAACGCUCACCUCACCUACAAGUUCCUCUCACCGUAUUUGUAUGAGUUUUUAGAUGCCAUGUUGACCUGCCAGACAGCCCCAGAAGAGGCCUUUAGGAAGUUUGACGAGAUGAAUGCCAAGCUCACAGAACAAUUGCGCAAGCUAGGAAAACAGGUGCAGGAAGCCCGGCUAGCUCGUGACGAUGAAGCCUUAAAAAAGGUUCUGCAAGACUAUGAUGAAAUAUUGGAGAAGUAUAUCCCAGUCCUCAUGGCUCAGGCCAAGAUCUACUGGAACAGGGAGAACUACCACGUGGUGGAGAAGAUCUUCCGUAAAUCGGUGGAGUUCUGCAACGAGCACGACACAUGGAAUCUUAACGUGGCCCACGUGCUCUUCAUGCAGGAGAACAAGUAUAAAGAGGCCAUCGGCUUCUACGAGCCCAUCGUCAAGAAACACUACGACAAUAUACUAAACGUUAGUGCUGUGGUCCUGGCAAACCUUUGUGUAUCCUACAUCAUGACCAGCCAGAAUGAAGAGGCAGAAGAACUGAUGAGGAAGAUCGAGAAAGAGGAGGAGCAGAUCUCCUAUGAUGACCCAGACAAGAAGGUCUUCCACCUCUGCAUAGUCAACCUUGUGAUCGGUACCUUGUAUUGUGCCAAGGGAAACUAUGACUUUGGCAUCACCCGCGUGAUCAAGAGCCUGGAGCCCUACAACAAGAAGGUUCUUCAUUCUGGGGUGUCAAGCUGGGUACAGACACAUGGUUCUACGCCAAGCGCUGCUUCCUCUCCCUAUUGGAGAACAUGGCCAAGCACAUGAUUAUGCUGAGGGACUCUGUGGUGCAGGAGGGUAUUCAGUUCCUGGAGCACUGCGAAGUGUAUGGUAAAAAUGAGCCAGCGAUGAUUGAGCAGCCCUUGGAGGAGGACCACGUGCACAUUGGCAAGAACACGGUCACCUACGAGUCACGCCUGCUCAAGGCUUUGUUCUAUGAGGUUAUCGGAUGGAACCAGUAAUCAAAUGGAAUGAAAUGAAUUAUAUCAUUAAACCAAGGCAUGGAUAGAAUUUGGGAUGUACAACCUAAAAACUCUUUAUGAUCUUCAAUAGAAGACAAUUACCACAAUGGACCUUGACAUUACUCUUCCCAGUCCAUAUAAGUAUAUGUCUAGGGAGGUUAUGAUAGUUGCUUUGACUUCUCUCAUGCACUUGUAUAGUUUAGGUAUGUGUUAGUUCAGUUGGGACAGUUUUGGAAAUUAGUUAUUUAAAACAUGUUCAAACCUGUAAUAAUACAACCCAUUGUUGUUUUUUUGUUUUGUUUUUCUACAGAAUAAAAAAUGUAUGUACAAGAUA